CUGGGAAAAGACUAGGAGAUCUUCUGCUCUAUUCCAACAUCAGUCACAAGGCACCGAGCGCCGAACACUGUGACUGAUGGGGGAGAAGACCACAGGAUCU
rfam:Murray Valley encephalitis virus strain MVE-1-51, complete genome.